rnacentral:rRNA from 1 species
CGCGAGCUGGGUUCAGAACGUCGUGAGACAGUUCGGUCCCUAUCCGUCGUGGGCGUAGGAAAUUUGAGAGGAGCUGUCCUUAGUACGAGAGGACCGGGAUGGACGCACCGCUGGUGUACCAGUUGUUCUGCCAAGGGCAUAGCUGGGUAGCUAUGUGCGGAAGGGAUAAGUGCUGAAAGCAUCUAAGCAUGAAGCCCCCCUCAAGAUGAGAUUUCCCAUAGCGUAAGCUAGUAAGAUCCCUGAAAGAUGAUCAGGUUGAUAGGUUCGAGGUGGAAGCAUGGUGACAUGUGGAGCUGACGAAUACUAAUAGAUCGAGGACUUAACCAU